AGUGAACGCUGGCGGCGUGCCUAAUACAUGCAAGUCGAACGAAGUGGCGCACGGGUGAGUAAUAUAUAGUUAAUCUGCCCUACACAGAGGAACAACAGUUGGAAACGACUGCUAAUACCUCAUAGUGUAGGAUGAGACUAUAUCGUAUCAGCUAGUUGGUAAGGUAAUGGCUUACCAAGGCUAUGACGCGUAACUGGUCUGAGAGGAUGAUCAGUAAAGUUGGAGCUGAGACACGGUGAAGAGUUCUACGGGAGGGAAGAGUAAGGGAUAUUGGGCAAUGGGGGUGACUCUCGCGAAGCAACGCUGCGUGGAGGAUGACACUUUUCGAAGCGUAAACACCUUUUAUCAGGAAAGCGGUACCUGAUGGAUAAGCAAAGGAUAACUACGAGCCAGCCGCCGCGGUAAUAC
rnacentral:rRNA from 1 species